CCUACGGGAGGCAGCAGUGGGGAAUAUUGGGCAAUGGGCGCAAGCCUGACCCAGCAACGCCGCGUGAAGGAAGAAGGCUUUCGGGUUGUAAACUUCUUUUGACAGGGAAGAGGAGAAGACGGUACCUGUCGAAUAAGCCACGGCUAACGACGGGCCAGCAGCCGCGGUAAUACGUAGGUGGCAAGCGUUGUCCGGAUUUACUGGGUGGAAAGGGCGUGUAGCCGGGUGGAAAAGUAAGAUGUGAAAUCCUGCGGCUUAACCGCAGAACGGCCUUUGAAACUGUUGAUCUUGAGUACUGGAGAGGCAGCCGGACUUCCUUGUGUAGCGGUGACAUGCGUAGAUAUU
rnacentral:rRNA from 1 species